rnacentral:snRNA from 1 species
ACUCGUAUGUUGAUUCCAU